GGCUCACAGGCCCGGCAGCGGCCCCCAGAGGCCGGGCUGGGAAAAGCAGCGGGCUUCAGCGGAUGACCAAGGUUACGACGGGAAGUGCUGGAGUGAAGCGGAAUGAACAAACAUGGCUCACUGCAGAUUUGACUUCCUGGCUCAAGCAAUCCUCUUGCUUCAACCUCCAGUGUAGCAGGGACCACAGCAUGAAAGCCCCUUUAGGGGAGGUGACUGGAAUCAUCCCCAAAGAAUUCUCACCUAGUCCUGGUGUGGCUGCUUCAUAGUCCUGUGUUUCUUCCUGCUUGGCUGUCCCUAACAUCUCAGAAACGCAUAGAGAAGUAAUGGGCUUCUAGAGAGGUAGGGGGUAUAGUGUUACAACUGAGGAUUUGGAAGUUGAGACCACCUGGUUCUUUACCAUCCACUAACCAUGUGACCUUAUGCAAUUUAUUCAA